GUCAGACGGAUGAAUGUAUAAAAACAAAAAUAAGGAAGAAAUUGUAAUUUUCUGAAAACAAAAUUCAGAUUGAAAACUUUAUUAAGAGUCCUUCCAAAGACAAAGAAAGAAAGAACCCAAAAUACCCAUUUCGGGCAAAGAUGGUUUCGAAAUCAGAAUUUUUUUAGUAAAUUGGUGUUAAGGCUACAAAUAUUGUUUGGUAUAUUUCGCACGAGUUAAGUAAAAAAACAUUACCUUUGCGUUUUGAGAA